rnacentral:rRNA from 1 species
CCCUGGCUCAGGACGAACGCUGGCGGCGUGCUUAACACAUGCAAGUCGAGCGGUAAGGCCCUUCGGGGUACACGAGCGGCGAACGGGUGAGUAACACGUGGGUGAUCUGCCCUGCACUUCGGGAUAAGCCUGGGAAACUGGGUCUAAUACCGGAUAYGACCAAAGGCUGCAUGGCUUUUGGUGGAAAGGUUUACUGGUGCAGGAUGGGCCCGCGGCCUAUCAGCUUGUUGGUGGGGUAAUGGCCUACCAAGGCGACGACGGGUAGCCGACCUGAGAGGGUGACCGGCCACACUGGGACUGAGACACGGCCCAGACUCCUACGGGAGGCAGCAGUGGGGAAUAUUGCACAAUGGGCGAAAGCCUGAUGCAGCGACGCCGCGUGAGGGAUGACGGCCUUCGGGUUGUAAACCUCUUUCAGCAGGGACGAAGCGAAAGUGACGGUACCUGCAGAAGAAGCACCGGCCAACUA